rnacentral:rRNA from 1 species
GACGAACGCUGGCGGCGUGCUUAACACAUGCAAGUCGAACGGAAAGGCCCUGCUUUUGUGGGGUGCUCGAGUGGCGAACGGGUGAGUAACACGUGAGUAACCUGCCCUUGACUUUGGGAUAACUUCAGGAAACUGGGGCUAAUACCGGAUAGGAGCUCCUGCUGCAUGGUGGGGGUUGGAAAGUUUCGGCGGUUGGGGAUGGACUCGCGGCUUAUCAGCUUGUUGGUGGGGUAGUGGCUUACCAAGGCUUUGACGGGUAGCCGGCCUGAGAGGGUGACCGGCCACAUUGGGACUGAGAUACGGCCCAGACUCCUACGGGAGGCAGCAGUGGGGAAUAUUGCACAAUGGGCGGAAGCCUGAUGCAGCAACGCCGCGUGCGGGAUGACGGCCUUCGGGUUGUAAACCGCUUUCGCCUGUGACGAAGCGUGAGUGACGGUAAUGGGUAAAGAAGCACCGGCUAACUACGUGCCAGCAGCCGCGGUGAUACGUAGGGUGCGAGCGUUGUCCGGACUUAUUGGGCGUAAAGGGCUCGUAGGUGGUUGAUCGCGUCGGAAGUGUAAUCUUGGGGCUUAACCCUGAGCGUGCUUUCGAUACGGGUUGACUUGAGGAAGGUAGGGGAGAAUGGAAUUCCUGGUGGAGCGGUGGAAUGCGCAGAUAUCAGGAGGAACACCAGUGGCGAAGGCGGUUCUCUGGGCCUUUCCUGACGCUGAGGAGCGGAAGCGUGGGGAGCGAACAGGCUUAGAUACCCUGGUAGUCCACGCUGUAAACGGUGGGUACUAGGUGUGGGGUCCAUUCCACGGGUUCCGUGCCGUAGCUAACGCUUUAAGUACCCCGCCUGGGGAGUACGGCCGCAAGGCUAAAACUCAAAGGAAUUGACGGGGCCCCGCACAAGCGGCGGAGCAUGCGGAUUAAUUCGAUGCAACGCGUAGAACCUUACCUGGGUUUGACAUGGAUCGGGAGUGCUCAGAGAUGGGUGUGCCUCUUUUGGGGUCGGUUCACAGGUGGUGCAUGCCUGUCGUCAGCUCGUGUCGUGAGAUGUUGGGUUAAGUCCCGCAACGAGCGCAACCCUUGUUCACUGUUGCCAGCACGUUAUGGUGGGGACUCAGUGGAGACCGCCGGGGUCAACUCGGAGGAAGGUGGGGAUGACGUCAAGUCCUCAUGCCCCUUAUGUCCAGGGCUUCACGCAUGCUACAAUGGCUGGUACAGAGAGUGGCGAGCCUGUGAGGGUGAGCGAAUCUCGGAAAGCCGGUCUCAGUUCGGAUUGGGGUCUGCAACUCGACCUCAUGAAGUCGGAGUCGCUAGUAAUCGCAGAUCAGCAACGCUGCGGUGAAAACGUUCCCGGG